rnacentral:lncRNA from 7 species
GUAGACCACCUCAGCUUUCCUGGGUGCAACACUGUCACUACAGUAAAAAAGAGGAGCUAGAUUGACUAGAUAAUUAGGGAUGACUGUUUAUACGUCGAUCACAAACGGCAAAUGCAGUACAGAAAAAGUAACCCCGUCUCCAAUAUCAGGCAAAUAUUUUUCACAAUAUUGCCAGGUCUGUUACACUAUAAACUCUAUCCUGUGCAACUAACUCUGGUUUUUGCACUUGCAACCUACUACUAUCCCGUACCUUAAAUUCUCAUCAUUUGACCUCGACUUGUAUUGGCUACCAAAGAAAAGACUGGAGCAGCACCUCCAGCUGCUAGCGCUUCAGCAGUGUCUCAGUUGGUUUGUUUCAAAGC